ACGUGUUUAAUAUUGCAUAACCUUUUUUUUUCCGAACCAUCGUGUACCUAUUGCAUAACGUACAGGUUCUUUUUUUAAUAUAUACAUCAAAUCCCUGACCAAAUUUCAAGUAUUCAAAAUUAACAGUCGUAGAUAAAGAAAAAUACGUUCUUAUAAGUAUUUGUAUUUUCGAUUCCAGAGGAAACUAUGUUUUUAAUUUUUUACAUUAAUUGAACAGUGAUGACGUGUUUUCCAAAUUUCUGAUUAAUAAAUCGUGAAGUUAAAGACAUUUCUUGUUUGAAUUCUUAUUAAAAAGGUGUUUAAGUGCUCAAAAACGUUAACUUGGCAGCGAAAUUGAAUCAGUUUGACGAACAGAAACGCAUUGGAUUGUAAUGAACAAUGGUUGUAUAACAAGUAUAUUUAUGUUUUAUAUCUCGAGUAGAAGAAGGGCUUCACUUGUUUUGGGUAGUAACUAGUAGACAUCGAAAAGCUAGUUUAGACUUAAGAUGCCAAAGCAGACUACGAAAUUUGGCAAGCUAAGUGGAAGAAUAUUGAAGACAACUUAAGGCCUACAACUGCUAUAGAGGCUUUGAACGUCUGUAAUAAUUUAAUGUACCCAAACAUGUAUAAAUUACUAAAAAUACUAGCUAUAAUACCAGUAUCCACCGCUACAGCUGAACGCAGCUUUUCGACGUUGAGAAGACUCAAAACAUAUUUAAGAAAUACAACUUCAGAAUCCAGACUAGUGGAACUCACACUUUUAGCUAUUCAUAGAGACAUUGACAUACCAGAUGACAUUUUAUUAGACAAAUUAGCCAACAGUGGCAAAGAAAGAAAUUUAAAUUUAAUAUGAUUUGUUAUAUUAUUACUAUUAUUAUUAUUAUAUAUAUUAUUUCAUUAUUAAUUUUUUGAAAACAUAAAAAAUCAUAACAAAAAUUAAAAUUGUGUACUAAUUUUCUAACUUUUGUUUUUAAUAGGCUGAAUUGGGGAAUUUCAGUUGGAGAAAAUACCACAGCCCCCCCCCCCAAAAAAAAAAAAAUUAUCUAAAUACGCCCCUGAUCCCAUCAAACAAGAUACUUUUGAAGAAAAUCGAAGCAAUCCUACUGCCCAAACGCCGAUGGAACACAUAAAUUAAAAAAAAAUACACGUUAUUGUAAAAUUAAUACAUUCAUCGCUCCACUCAGAAUUUAAAACAAAAUUAUUUUAUGAACAUUAUUUUGAGGGUACAUACCUACCACGAUUUUUGAAAAAAAUUAAUUAUUUUCC